ACGCUUGCUUGCCUUUGGUUUAAAAGGCAUGAUGGCCCCACUCAAGGUUGCCUGGAGGCAGGCUGCUGCUGUAUUAGGCCCUGGACUGAACAGUGUGCUGUCUUGACUAUACCUCCUUCAUCUGCUGCUCUGUUGACAAACACCAAGCUGGUUCCCUGUUUCAGCACAGAGUAUGUGACCCAAAGCCACUACUCCUAACCACUCUCCUCAAGAUGGUGCCUUUCCCCCUCCUCAACCCUCACUGCUGCUCUCUGUUCCCAUGGAUCUGUCUCCUGUGGACACUUAGUCUGUGGAGUGCUGGCCAUUGAGGCUUUCUGUAUCUGGCCUCUUUCACUCAGCAUUCAUGUGAUCACAGCCAGGGAAGGGCUGCAUUUAUGACAAGCGACACCGUUCUUCCACUUGCCAGUAGAUGGAUACUUGUUCCCACCUUAGCCACAGGGACCAGAAUGCCACGAGUCUCUGUGAAACUUCCGCAUGUACAAGCACAGCCAUGAUCUCUGUCAGAAAUGGUUCCUGCUGGGAAUCUUCUUGAGAACAUUUCACCCUGCUGAGGGUGCUCCUGUCACAUUGGGAAUGUGACCUCUGUCUGCAGGUGCCAAGGGACAGUCCAUGUCCUUAGUCGAUAUUGAAAAAUUUAAGGGCCAUUGAGUGCUUAGCCCUAAGGGAUCUGAUACCAAUCCCAGAGACCUGAGUUCCACUUGACGUACAUGGUGGAAGAAGAGAUACUCACAGGUUGUUCUCUGACGCACGCACGCACGCACGCAAGCAAGUACUCCCUUAUGUCUCUCCCAUAUGCACACACACAUGCUCCUACACACAUACACCUGUAUUCACAAAUGCAUUCACAGAUAAAUAAAUAUACAAAUAAAUAUACCUUAAAAUGUUUCUCAAGAGAAAAAAGUAAUAAAUGUGGCUGGAGUGAAGCCCAGUCACAGACCACACAGUCAGUACAUAGAGGGCCUCAGGUUCUGUACCGGCUGGUUUUGUGUGCCAACUUGACACAAGCUGGAGUUAUCACAGAGAAAGGAGCCUCACCUGAGGAAAUGCCUCCAUGAAACCGAGCUGUAAGGCAUUUUCGAAACUAGUGAUCAAGGGUGGGAGGGCCCAGCCCACUGUGUGUGGUGCCAUCCCUGGGCUGGUGGUCUUGGGUUCUAUAAGAGAGCAGGCUGAGGGGUUGGGGAUUUAACUCAGUGGUAGAGCGCUUGCCUAGCAAGGGCAAGGCCCUGGGUUCGGUCCCCAGCUCCGAAAAAGAAAAAAAAAAAAAGAAGAAAGGAAGAAAGAAAGAAAGAAAGAGAAAGAAAGAAAGAAAGGAAGGAAGAAAGAAAGAAAGAAAGAAAGGCUGAGCAAGCUAUGGGAAGCAAACCAGUAUGCAGCACCCCUCCAUGGCCUCUGCAUCAGGUCCUGCCUCCUGACCUGCUUGAGCUCCUGUCCUGACUUCCUUUGGUGGUGAACAGCAGUGUG
ensembl:lncRNA